rnacentral:ncRNA from 1 species
AUUUAGACUAUCAAGGGACUAGUAAUUAUUAGCCACUUUUCAGAAACUGAGUGGUAGUUGAGAACUCAGAUUUGACUGAUGAUGAACUCACCCAAGGGAUUAUUGCUGAAAAUAGUAAGCAAUAACGUUUCUCCACGUUAUGGAGCUAAGCGCUACAGUAAUGUAGAAUCAUGGGUGGUACCGCGGAGAAAUUCGUCCCGUAA